rnacentral:tRNA from 1 species
GAGAGAUGGCUGAGUUGGUUUAAGGCACUCGACUCGAAAUCGAACGUGCGGGAGACCGUACCGAGGGUUCGAAUCCCUCUCUCUCC